AACGCGAAGAACCUUACCAGGGCUUGACAUAGCUACUAAGACCCUAGAGAUAGGGGGAUAAAAGGAGCAUACAGGUGGUGCAUGGUUGUCGUCAGCUCGUGUCGUGAGAUGUUAGGUUAAGUCCUCCAACGAGCGCAACCCUUGUCCUUAGUUACCAUCAUUAAGUUGGGGACUUUAAGGAGACCGCCGGUGUAAAUCGGAGGAAGGUGGGGAUGACGUCAAAUCAUCAUGCCCCUUACGUCCUGGGCGUCACACGUGCUACAAUGGUCGGUACAAAGAGCAGCCAAGCCGCGAGGCCGCGCAAAUCUCAUAAAGCCGAUCUCAGUUCGGAUCGGAGUCUGCAACUCGACUCCGUGAAGUCGGAAUUGCUAGUAAUCGCAAAUCAGCCAUGUUGCGGUGAAUACGUUCCCGGGCCUUGUACACACCG
rnacentral:rRNA from 1 species